GAGAGAACAGGCAUAGUCAAACCAUCUAUUUUCGAUCAGCUUCCUUGAGUCCUAAACUUGGAGAAACCUCAGUUCAGAAAAAGGGCCCACUUAGGGGAGGUGUUGAAGGGCCUAAAAUAUAGAGAUGUAGUAUUACUUUGAUGCUUGAUAUUAUAUUUUUUCUUUUAUAAGAUUAGGGAUCUAACUAUUUUAUCUUUAUUUUUAUAUUCGAGAUCCACUUCGAGUAUCAUCACCGGAUGAGAUGUUGCUGCUUGAAGUGAGUCCUUCCACCCGUCAGAUAGAUAGAACUGAAGGUGAAACAAGUAAGAUGGGUAAAACAACUAAGAUGGAUAGGAAGAGAAAGAGGAGUAGACCUAGCAGCGCACGCAGCACUACCACGGUAUUGGCCUGUCGUAUAAUUAAAUAUUUUUAAAAUUUAUUACUGAUGCAUGUAAUUAUUGAAUAUUUAUCUUCAGAUGGAGCUCAUAUGUAAAUAUCAAUGCAUCUUUACAAAGGUAAGGAGUGGGAGGGCUCGAGACGAUGCUGAGAAGAUGGAGCUUCGGAGGAUGCUCGUUGAGAAGGAUAAGUUGAUUUUGAGUUACAGGCGGCAUUAAAGAGUAUUGAAGGGAGCAUUGAGAUGAAGGAUGCGAAGGAGAAAACUCAUGAGGUGGCAUCAGAUGUGCUGCUUAUUGAGUUUGUGAGUGCUGAUAGCCCGACGGUAUCCAUCAAGCAUGCGGACCCACAGCAUACUGAGAGAUGGGUUACGUAGUGAAAGUGGACAGUUUGAGGCUCCCAUCUCCCAUGCAGUCUAUUCGUCCCCCUAUCUUCAACAACUCCGAAUCUCAAAAAAAAGCCCAAGACGUCAAUCCGUCGUAGGGAUGACGACAUAGUAAGUAGAGUUAUGAUUUAGUAGAACAUUCACACUUCAUUCAUAUUCGACAUCCAACGUACUCAUGUGAUACAUAGGAAUUUUUUGAGAUUAGCCAUGACUUCCCUGGGUUGCAGCUUCUGGAUGAUGCAGAGCAUAGGCAAGUCUUCAAUUUUUUAGAAAAAAAAUUGAUCGGUAUGUCAUUCCAUUAUUUGUAAAAUAAAUAAUUUUGAUGUCUUUCAAACUAUAUUUAUCUUAAGUCUACAUUUGUCUUUAGGUUUGACAUUAAUUACACCAUAUAGGUCAUUGGUUUGGACUGAUGGCAUCAUCGUUAUCAAUCGGCUGC
rnacentral:lncRNA from 1 species